GCUUCCUUGGCUCAGUUGGCUAGAGCGCGAGUCUCAUAAUAUGAGGUCCUAUCCAGUGACUAUAAUCUCGAGGUCGCAAGUUCGAGCCUUGCAGGGAGCA